rnacentral:rRNA from 1 species
GACGAACGCUGGCGGCGUGCUUAACAACAUGCAAGUCGAGCGGUAAGGCCCUUUCGGGGGUACACGAGCGGCGAACGGGUGAGUAACACGUGGGUGACCUGCCCUCAGCUCUGGGAUAAGCCUGGGAAACCGGGUCUAAUACUGGAUAUGACUCCAUGACGCAUGUUGUGGGGUGGAAAAGCCUUGUGCGGCUGAGGAUGGGCCCGNGGCCUAUCAGCUUGUUGGUGGGGUGANGGCCUACCAAGGCGACGACGGGUAGCCGGCCUGAGA